rnacentral:lncRNA from 1 species
UUUUUAUUUAUUUUUUUAUUUUUUAAAUCAAAAAAGGUUGUUACGUUAAAUUUAACUAGCAGAUUUGUAUAAUUACUUACGAAAAAGAAAGUACCUGAAAAUUGCUUUUACAAGCAUACUUUUUUUUUUAAAUAAUUCCUUUUAAAAUGCAAUAGAAAUGUAACAAAUAACGAAAUACACGUUUAAACGAAUACCACGGAAUUUUCACUUAAUUUGUGCGACACUAUGCAUCUCCCCACUAACUGAUAUGUUUCACUCAGAAAACGAGUUUUCGUGGUGUAAAACAAGUAGAAAAUAACAUAAAUGGCAUGUGUUAAUUUUAUCUAGUAAGAUACAAGCUCUUUUUAUUAAGAUAUGGUAAAAUUUCGGAAAUAUAAUUUUUUGACUAGUAUUUUCUUCAAAAAGCUUUACCCUUUGUACAAUGUGGCAAUAUUUUAAACUGAUAUUUUUGAUAUUUCUAGACUGAUUUACAUCACUUUUAUCAUGUUUUUUAAUAGCAAAUGUAUCUAAUAAUACGAUGGUAAAAAAACUGAGUUGAAAAAUUUUGAGAUAAUUAUAUUACUGGUUGAAAAUCGUUAAUAAGGCUAGCAACCAUACUGAGUUGGCGUUUAGUCCCAAGCACGUUCACUCUUAUUUCUAUGCACCCCAUACAAUGAAGAUGACAGGCCUCUUAAUGUACGCAAAAUGUUGAAAAGGAGAACUGAUGUAUCAGAAUGGACGGGGAUUAUAAGAUUACAAUUCUAUAGACAAAAGUCAGCUUUUUUAAAGAAAUAUAGAAAAGCAUUCAAUCACUUAGGUCAUUUUGUGCAUUGAUUUUACGUCCAAUGUACACCACAUCCCUUAUAGGUCCAGGGCUUCAAUAUUAUGUUUGUAAGGCCGUCGGUCCCUAGAAUGGACACGCAAACCCAUACCCUACCUCUCAUGUCACAGGAUCAUAUAUUUCAUGUUAAAAUUGAAUUGAGUAUAUUUCGGUCAUGUCUGGAUUGUUUAAGAAUUCACAUAGGUUAGAAACGGUACUGUAAGAAUAUCAGCAAUAUUUGUCAGAUUAUAUUUAGUACUUUACUGUUCAUAUUUCCUACAUUCCAUGAGCAUGUUUUAUUGUUGCUGGGGCAUCACAUGUGCAUUUUUGUGGGGCUCAUGGUUUAUAAAAUAUCCGUGACUGAGUCUAACCUGUCCUACUCUCAUUGGUGUAAGGCAGCUUUUUUUCCCCGGUUAACAAUGUUUUAUUUCAUAUUUUGUUGUACUAUUCCACUCUUUUUGCUACUGUCUCCAGAUAUUAAUUUUCACAAAUGAGUUACGGUCUCUAUUCAAUACUUUAUUACAACCGAACCCCUCUAAAUGUGGCAACUUUUCACCACCUUGUCAAAUUUUUGUUUCAUAUAAUGUCGCAAUGUCCACUUUUAAGAAUCAUCACAGCUAGUGGACCAUGUAAUUUUUUUUUAUGCUUUUUAAUUUACCAUCUGAUUAUAUUUAAAAUAAAUCCCAAGGUAGGCUGCCCGUACCAAAACAGCUUUGAGUCACUUAUACUCAUAUUUAUGUAUGUACCUUCAAUUUUAAACUAAGACCUAUAAAAAAAAAAAAAAUAACGUAGGCUUAAAUUUUAAACUAAGACCUAUUGACAAAAACAAUCAGUGUGAAUUUCAUGGGCUAAUGCCAGCUUUGACUAUACAGUAGAUCUACCAUUACACAAUGCAAAAAACACUUUUGACUACCAAAAUCACUCAUUUUUUUAGCCAAACGAAAAAUUUCGUUGUCUUUACAAAUACAAUGUAAUAACAUUUUUAUUUGAUUAAAAUGUUAAUGAAAUCAUAAUAUUGUGGCUAUUCACAUGAAAGCUCUGAUGUAUUUUUUUUUUUUUAUGUUUAGGGAUACCACUUGGUUCUGCCAUAAGGGUGAUUCAUAAUUUUUUUAAUUAGUUAAACCUGCUUUACCAGUGAAUACAAGGACAAAAACCCAAAUAUAAAUAAAAGUGCAGUCGUCAUCAGAGGACAUUUUUCUGGAAAGCAGCCUAUGUGAUCCAAGAGACAACUACAACAGGUGCUCCGGACUGGGAAGAACUGAUCCAAAAGGUAAAUGUUUUAUACUACACGUUUAACCGUCACUGCCUGUUUUAAAAAUUUGCAGCUAGAAAAGACAGGAUCAAGAGAAAAAUGCGUACGUGUAAGAAAAUCAAAAUUUUCACUCGGGAAAUCUUGAGGAACAGGAGGCUGCGGUACUACCAAGUGUACACAGAUUCUGAAGAUGAAGUGUGAUUUUUUAAAAAGUCAAAUUAUCUAUUAAAAAAAACUGACUGUCAACAACUAAGAAGAUCCUCCUAAAUUGCUAUCUCUUUAUAUUAUUUUUUUCUUUUUAAAUAAACUUGGCAACUUUUAAUAAUAUAAUUUUUCAUUAUUUCAUGGCCUUUUUCAGAUGUCCACUACAGAAGAAAUCAAUAGAAAUAGGACAGAUCUUAAAACCAUAUUGCAAAAAACUUGCCUUACCAUCAAACAAUACAAAAAAAUUCUUGUUCUGUUUUAAGAACCCUGAAUACAAUUUUUUCCUCAAACCAGUGCACUUCAAAAGCAAUACAAAAAGAGGAUUUGGAUGAAUGUCUCCUAUUUAAAACAAUCACUCAAUAGGCAUCCAGUUCAAAUAUCAAAAUAAUACAAUUAAUUAAGG